GCGUUAGUAGAGCAACAGGUUGCAGCACGCACUCCUUGAUAGAGUGAGGUGCGGGUUCGAGUCUCGCCGACGCA